AGUGAACGCUGGCGGCGUGCUUAACACAUGCAAGUCGAACGGAUGAAAUAAGCUUGCUUAUUUCGUUAGUGGCGCACGGGUGAGUAAUGUAUAGCUAGCCUGCCCUUUAGUGGGGGACAACAGUUGGAAACGACUGCUAAUACCCCAUACUCCUUCUUAUCUUAAGAUAAGUUGGGAAAGAUUUAUUGCUAAAGGAUGGGGCUUUAUGGUAUCAGCUAGUUGGUGGGGUAACGGCCUACCAAGGCGAUGACGCCUACCUGGUCUGCGAGGAUGAUCAGGCACACUGGAACUGAGACACGGUCCAGACUCCUACGGGAGGCAGCAGUGGGGAAUAUGGAACAAUGGAGGAAACUCUGAUGAAGCAACGCCGCGUGGAGGAUGACGCAUUUCGGUGUGUAAACUCCUUUUAUAAGGGAAGAUAAUGACGGUACCUUAUGAAUAAGCACCGGCUAACUCCGUGCCAGCAGCCGCCGUAA
rnacentral:rRNA from 1 species